GUUUCAGCCUAAAAUUUGCAAUUUCCUUGCCAAUUUACAUUUUAAUUAAUAAACCCAUAAACAAGAGGUAAUCACUGGCACCUGUUGGUAUCAGAACUGUAAAACUGACAGGCAAACUUUUGACUUUCCUCCUGCAGCUUACUUUACCCCCAUAACACUCAGGCACACUCUUGACUAAACAUCAGCUGAGCUAUAAACAUUCAGUGUCAGAUUAUUGAAGGGCAUUAUUACACUGAUAAAGGGUCAGGGGUCCCAAAACAUUUGUAUUUUGGCAUGCACGUUUAAUAAAUAUAGGUUUCACUAGUGGGCCUGAUUAACUAAGCAGUGCCUUGUACUUUUGUUUGUGUUUUCUUAAAGAUUAUUGAGAGUGAACACUAAUAUAAAUAAAUAUAUUUAUGUAUG